rnacentral:tRNA from 1 species
GAGGGCGUGAUCUAACUGGUUAUGAUUUAUCCCUGUCACGGAUACUAUUGUGGGUUCAAAUCCCAUCGCUCUCG